rnacentral:rRNA from 1 species
GAUGAACGCUAGCUACAGGCUUAACACAUGCAAGUCGAGGGGUAACGAGAGGAAAGCUUGCUUUCCUUGUCGACGACCGGCGCACGGGUGAGUAACGCGUAUCCAACCUGCCCCCAACUAGGGAAUAACCUUGCGAAAGUAAGACUAAUACCCUAUAAUUUCCUCAGAUGUCAUCUGACGAGGAAUAAAGAUUUAUCGGUUGUGGAUGGGGAUGCGUCUGAUUAGCUUGUUGGCGGGGUAACGGCCCACCAAGGCAUCGAUCAGUAGGGGUUCUGAGAGGAAGGUCCCCCACAUUGGAACUGAGACACGGUCCAAACUCCUACGGGAGGCAGCAGUGAGGAAUAUUGGUCAAUGGGCGGAAGCCUGAACCAGCCAAGUAGCGGGCAGGAUGACGGCCAUAUGGGUUGUAAACUGCUUUUAUACAGGAAUAAAGUUAGCCACGUGUGGUUAUUUGUAGGUACUGUAUGAAUAAGGACCGGCUAAUCCCGUGCCAGCCGCCGCGGUAA